CAUGCUUCUACCGGUCUAUGGG
rnacentral:siRNA from 1 species